rnacentral:misc_RNA from 1 species
GUCCCUAUACGGCUAUACUAAGACUAUAAAUCGAUUGCCAUCCAAGGUGAAUUUCAACCAAUGGAACCGCCAACAGCACCUCCUCCACCUUCCGGAAUUCUGCCCAGGCAAACUGAGCUCUCAGCGGCCCACAGAGAUUUUCUGGAUCAGCAUUUGGGUACCCAUGAAAAUCUUCACACCAGAGCUCCCCUUCUUUUAACCGAUUUAACAAAAAGCUUCGCCGAUUUGGAAGCUAAUUUCCUGAACCUGCAGAGAAAUCUAACGAAACGCACCGUUUCGUGGAUUUCUCGCUCUUUUGGAGCAAAAUCAUCGGUUUCCAAUCUUAAUAUCAUGUUGGAGAAUCUCAGUCUUCCCACCUCCAAACGUUAGCCAUUUGAUCUUAUGGUGUUUGGGAUUAUUGAAGCUGUUUUUAAAUUAAUAAAGUGACUAUUAUUUUGUGUUGUUUUUGGUAGUUGGGAUUUGUUCAACAAAAAUUCAGACGAUUCUUGGUGAGGAGCUGCCUCAACUUGCCAAAUGUCUGAAACGAAUUGAAAAUAUUCGCAAAUACGUGGAUACUGCCUUACAGUUGGAAGCUCUGGUUGGAGAUCUUGAGGAUGCAGUUUACUGUAUUGGAGAUUGUCACGCCCUGAAUAUGUUUUCAGCAAAGUUUAUGACUUCACUGAUUUCAAUGGACUUUGGGCCAAAGCAAGAGAGACUACUUAGAGCCAUAAAACUGAUGAACGACAUUGAGGAUUUAUUGGUUGAUGUUGUGAUAUUUCAUCCUCAGUGGUCCCAUCUUUUGGAGUCCGUUGAUAUUAGAGUAGACAAAAUUUUAACUGUUGUUCGGCCUCAAGUUCUUGCUGAUCACCGUGCUCUUCUUGCUUCUUUAGGCUGGCCGCCUAAACUUUUGACAUCAACGGUUGAUAGUGGAGGAAUUGCCUGCCUUCCUAAUCCCCUUGUUUUGAUGGAAGGAGACAAAAGAAAUUAUUAUGCCCAGAGUUUUCUAGGUCUUUGUGCUUUGCAGCAUCUGCAGACACGGAGGGAAGAUCGACAGCAUAACAUUUUUGGACGGAAGGAGUGCAGUAUGAGGCUUUGGGCCAUUGAUGAACUCGUUUCUCCCAUUGCUUCACGAGUGGAAUACCACUUCUCUAAGUGGGCCGAACAGCCAGAAUACAUGUUUGCUCUUGUAUAUAAGAUUACAAGAGACUUUAUUGUGGGAGUGGAUGAUGUUUUGCAACCCUUGAUUGACAGAGCAAGAUUGGUGAGUUACAGUGCUAGAGAAGCUUGGGUUUCUGCAAUGGUCCUGAUGCUUUCUGGGUUUUUAGCAAAAGCUGUUGUUUCUGAUCUUGCUGAAAGGUACAAGGAGAAACACAUGAAAUCAGAAGUUAUAUCCUCAUGGCUUCAUUUGAUAGAUCAUGCUGUCACUUUUGAUAAACGGAUGCGAUCACUUGUAAAUUCAGAAAUUCAUUUCUUCUUGGAGGAGUCUGAAAGGCAUGACUCAAGAGGUCUAUCGGUAUUAAUGAUAUUUUGUGAUAGGCCAGAUUGGCUCAAGAUUUGGGCAAAAAUAGAGCUCAAGGAUGCAUGGAAGAAACUGAAACCUGAACUGAAAGAUGAGAGAGCGUGGUCAAUUGGUAAGAAAUCUGGGGUUGACUUUCAGAUCAGUGCAGAAUCUGAACAAUUUUUGCUCACCACUAGAGAGGACUACAAAGCUCCCUUAGUAGCAGAUUCUGUCCUUAAAAUCGCCUGGGAAAUGAUUGAACGAUGCAAAACUUUGCCUUCUGUUUUACUGCGUAUUCGAUUUAUCAAAUCAACUGCUGGAAAAUUCCUCUGGCAUUUUCUUAAUGUAUUGGUUUUGCGUUGCAAGAACACCGGGUUCCUUUUGGAUUAUCUGAAUGAUGCCUUGAUAAAAGUAUGCGGAUCAAUCAAUGCUGCCAGAUAUGUUGAAUCCAAGCUGCAAGAGUGGAGUGAUGAUGUUAACUUCUUAGAGAUGAGAACUGCUGAAAGGGGUUUAGACAUUGAUGGAAAUGAUGAUCUUGCUGACAAUAGUAGCUUCUUUGGGGAAGAAAUUAAAAGUUUGUUGGAGCUUGAGACUAACUGGGUCUUGGAGAUAAUUUAUUUUCUGCUUCAUCAUUUUGAAGCACUAUCCUGGGAAUAUCUCCAAAACAAAAGAUAUUUUGAACAAGGGCAAGAAAAUUUUACUGCAAAUAGAGUUCCAGCGGCCAUGGAUUUAGCAGUAUCCAUUGAUAUUGUCCAAGCACUGGAUGCUAUUAAAAUUCAGCUUAACAUUCUUAAGUCAAGUCUUAAUCCAAAGGACUUCUUGGAUUUGUGGAGAAGUGUUGCUGAUGGCCUUGACCGAUUCAUUUCAAGCAGCAUUUCGUUUAGUGAUAUCCAAUUUUCUAGUGGGGGAAUUGAUCAAUUCAAAGCUGACAUGCGAGCGCUGUUUCUAGUUUUUCAGCCAUUCUGUGUUCGCCCUGAUGUGUUUUUCCCUUGUAUUAGAGAGACCAUUAAGGUGUUAAAAAUGUGUAGGGAAGAGGCAAACCAUUUGCAGGUAGUUGCAUCCAAUAGCGAAAAUCGAACAAAAUACUUGCAUUCUUAUGGAAUUUUGCACUUGUCUUUUGAUCAAGUUGAUAAAGUUUUGAAAAACAGGAAGUUUGGAAGUUGAUUCAGUGAUGUGCUCGUCUUUCUUUUGUUUUCUGGAAGAUCAUCUUCCAAGAUGCUUCAUACAUACAGGUAAAAUAGUUGCUACUUUCUCUUGAUCAUCUUAGUUUUCUUAGUGAAACAUACCGGUAAAAUAGUUGCUACUUUCUCUUGAUCAUCUUAGUUUUCUUAGUGAAACAUACC